rnacentral:rRNA from 1 species
UACAGAGGUCCCAAGCGUUGUUCGGAUUCACUGGGCGUAAAGGGUGCGUAGGUGGUCAGGUAAGUCUGAUGUGAAAUCUCCGAGCUCAACUCGGAAAUGGCAUUGGAUACUAUCUGGCUAGAGGAGUGGAGGGGGGACUGGAAUACUUGGUGUAGCAGUGAAAUGCGUAGAUAUCAAGUGGAACACCAGUGGCGAAGGCGAGUCCCUGGACACUUCCUGACACUGAGGCACGAAAGCUAGGGGAGCAAACAGG